rnacentral:rRNA from 1 species
AACGAACGCUGGCGGCAUGCCUAACACAUGCAAGUCGAACGAGACCUUCGGGUCUAGUGGCGCACGGGUGCGUAACGCGUGGGAACCUGCCCUUAGGUUCGGAAUAACUCUCCGAAAGGGGUGCUAAUACCGGAUAAUGUCUUCGGACCAAAGAUUUAUCGCCUUUGGAUGGGCCCGCGUUGGAUUAGCUAGUUGGUAGGGUAAAAGCCUACCAAGGCGACGAUCCAUAGCUGGUCUGAGAGGAUGAUCAGCCACACUGGGACUGAGACACGGCCCAGACUCCUACGGGAGGCAGCAGUGGGGAAUAUUGGACAAUGGGCGAAAGCCUGAUCCAGCAAUGCCGCGUGAGUGAUGAAGGCCUUAGGGUUGUAAAGCUCUUUUACCCGGGAUGAUAAUGACAGUACCGGGAGAAUAAGCGCCGGCUAACUCCGUG